rnacentral:rRNA from 1 species
UUAAGUUAUUAAGGGCGCACGGUGGAUGCCUUGGCACUAGAAGCCGAUGAAGGACGUUACUAACGACGAUAUGCUUUGGGGAGCUGUAAGUAAGCUUUGAUCCAGAGAUUUCCGAAUGGGGAAACCCAGCAUGAGUUAUGUCAUGUUAUCGAUAUGUGAAUACAUAGCAUAUCAGAAGGCACACCCGGAGAACUGAAACAUCUUAGUACCCGGAGGAAGAGAAAGAAAAUUCGAUUCCCUUAGUAGCGGCGAGCGAAACGGGAAGAGCCCAAACCAACAAGCUUGCUUGUUGGGGUUGUAGGACACUCUGUACGGAGUUACAAAGGACGACAUUAGACGAAUCAUCUGGAAAGAUGAAUCAAAGAAGGUAAUAAUCCUGUAGUCGAAAAUGUUGUCUCUCUUGAGUGGAUCCUGAGUACGACGGAGCACGUGAAAUUCCGUCGGAAUCUGGGAGGACCAUCUCCUAAGGCUAAAUACUCUCUAGUGACCGAUAGUGAACCAGUACCGUGAGGGAAAGGUGAAAAGCACCCCGGAAGGGGAGUGAAAUAGAACCUGAAACCGUGUGCUUACAAGUAGUCAGAGCCCGUUAAUGGGUGAUGGCGUGCCUUUUGUAGAAUGAACCGGCGAGUUACGAUUUGAUGCAAGGUUAAGCAGUAAAUGUGGAGCCGUAGCGAAAGCGAGUCUGAAUAGGGCGUUUAGUAUUUGGUCGUAGACCCGAAACCAGGUGAUCUACCCUUGGUCAGGUUGAAGUUCAGGUAACACUGAAUGGAGGACCGAACCGACUUACGUUGAAAAGUGAGCGGAUGAACUGAGGGUAGCGGAGAAAUUCCAAUCGAACCUGGAGAUAGCUGGUUCUCUCCGAAAUAGCUUUAGGGCUAGCCUCAAGUGAUGAUUAUUGGAGGUAGAGCACUGUUUGGACGAGGGGCCCCUCUCGGGUUACCGAAUUCAGACAAACUCCGAAUGCCAAUUAAUUUAACUUGGGAGUCAGAACAUGGGUGAUAAGGUCCGUGUUCGAAAGGGAAACAGCCCAGACCACCAGCUAAGGUCCCAAAAUAUAUGUUAAGUGGAAAAGGAUGUGGCGUUGCCCAGACAACUAGGAUGUUGGCUUAGAAGCAGCCAUCAUUUAAAGAGUGCGUAAUAGCUCACUAGUCGAGUGACACUGCGCCGAAAAUGUACCGGGGCUAAACAUAUUACCGAAGCUGUGGAUUGUCCUUUGGACAAUGGUAGGAGAGCGUUCUAAGGGCGUUGAAGCAUGAUCGUAAGGACAUGUGGAGCGCUUAGAAGUGAGAAUGCCGGUGUGAGUAGCGAAAGACGGGUGAGAAUCCCGUCCACCGAUUGACUAAGGUUUCCAGAGGAAGGCUCGUCCGCUCUGGGUUAGUCGGGUCCUAAGCUGAGGCCGACAGGCGUAGGCGAUGGAUAACAGGUUGAUAUUCCUGUACCACCUAUAAUCGUUUUAAUCGAUGGGGGGACGCAGUAGGAUAGGCGAAGCGUGCGAUUGGAUUGCACGUCUAAGCAGUAAGGCUGAGUAUUAGGCAAAUCCGGUACUCGUUAAGGCUGAGCUGUGAUGGGGAGAAGACAUUGAGUCUUCGAGUCGUUGAUUUCACACUGCCGAGAAAAGCCUCUAGAUAGAAAAUAGGUGCCCGUACCGCAAACCGACACAGGUAGUCAAGAUGAGAAUUCUAAGGUGAGCGAGCGAACUCUCGUUAAGGAACUCGGCAAAAUGACCCCGUAACUUCGGGAGAAGGGGUGCUCUUUAGGGUUAACGCCCAGAAGAGCCGCAGUGAAUAGGCCCAAGCGACUGUUUAUCAAAAACACAGGUCUCUGCUAAACCGUAAGGUGAUGUAUAGGGGCUGACGCCUGCCCGGUGCUGGAAGGUUAAGAGGAGUGGUUAGCUUCUGCGAAGCUACGAAUCGAAGCCCCAGUAAACGGCGGCCGUAACUAUAACGGUCCUAAGGUAGCGAAAUUCCUUGUCGGGUAAGUUCCGACCCGCACGAAAGGCGUAACGAUUUGGGCACUGUCUCAACGAGAGACUCGGUGAAAUCAUAGUACCUGUGAAGAUGCAGGUUACCCGCGACAGGACGGAAAGACCCCGUGGAGCUUUACUGUAGCCUGAUAUUGAAAUUCGGNNNNNNNNNNNNNNNNNNNNNNNNNNNNNNNNNNNNNNNNNNNNNNNNNNNNNNNNGCGGGCAGUUUGACUGGGGCGGUCGCCUCCUAAAAGGUAACGGAGGCGCUCAAAGGUUCCCUCAGAAUGGUUGGAAAUCAUUCAUAGAGUGUAAAGGCAUAAGGGAGCUUGACUGCGAGACCUACAAGUCGAGCAGGGUCGAAAGACGGACUUAGUGAUCCGGUGGUUCCGCAUGGAAGGGCCAUCGCUCAACGGAUAAAAGCUACCCCGGGGAUAACAGGCUUAUCUCCCCCAAGAGUUCACAUCGACGGGGAGGUUUGGCACCUCGAUGUCGGCUCAUCGCAUCCUGGGGCUGUAGUCGGUCCCAAGGGUUGGGCUGUUCGCCCAUUAAAGCGGUACGCGAGCUGGGUUCAGAACGUCGUGAGACAGUUCGGUCCCUAUCCGUCGUGGGCGUAGGAAAUUUGAGAGGAGCUGUCCUUAGUACGAGAGGACCGGGAUGGACAUACCUCUGGUGUACCAGUUGUCGUGCCAACGGCAUAGCUGGGUAGCUAUGUGUGGACGGGAUAAGUGCUGAAAGCAUCUAAGCAUGAAGCCCCCCUCAAGAUGAGAUUUCCCAACUUCGGUUAUAAGAUCCCUCAAAGAUGAUGAGGUUAAUAGGUUCGAGGUGGAAGCAUGGUGACAUGUGGAGCUGACGAAUACUAAUCGAUCGAAGACUUAAUCAA